rnacentral:rRNA from 1 species
AUUGAACGCUGGCGGCAUGCCUUACACAUGCAAGUCGAACGGUAACGGGCCUUCGGGUGCCGACGAGUGGCGAACGGGUGAGUAAUGCAUCGGAACGUACCUUUCAGUGGGGGAUAACGUAGCGAAAGUUACGCUAAUACCGCAUAUUCUGUGAGCAGGAAAGCAGGGGAUCGCAAGACCUUGCGCUGAUUGAGCGGCCGAUGUCAGAUUAGCUAGUUGGUGAGGUAAAGGCUCACCAAGGCGACGAUCUGUCGCGGGUCUGAGAGGAUGAUCCGCCACACUGGGACUGAGACACGGCCCAGACUCCUACGGGAGGCAGCAGUGGGGAAUUUUGGACAAUGGGGGCAACCCUGAUCCAGCCAUGCCGCGUGAGUGAAGAAGGCCUUCGGGUUGUAAAGCUCUUUCGGCCGGGAAGAAAUCGCACAGGCUAAUACCUUGUGUGGAUGACGGUACCGGAAUAAGAAGCACCGGCUAACUACGUGCCAGCCGCCGCCGUAAUAC